rnacentral:rRNA from 1 species
AUGCCCGGUGGGCGACGCACAUCGCCGACUUUGACUACAUCGUCCUGUCCGGCACCUACUGGUUCUUCUGCCCAUGCGUGUACUACGAGGGCAGCCGGGCCUUCGGGCACCACGGCGGCGCCAGCGGUGCCCACAACGCAAUUGAGACACCCAUCUUCAGUGCGGCGCGCGCCGUGUUCCACAUGGCGCUCGGCACCAUCACGGCCCUGGCCCACGAGGGGUUCCACGGCAAGGCCGUGGUCCGGACGGGCAUGCCCGUGCACUUCGAACGGGGAGUGGAACAACGGCGGCAACUGCGUCCGCACGCGGCCGCUUCACUGCGGCAAGCGCGCCCACGACGCCAUGGUGGCCGAGUUCUGCGCCGCGCAUGUUGACACACUCAGGAAGACAGAGGCAGCAUCGCAGCAGAGCUGGAACGGCGUGGAGAUGCGGCUACUGGACAUCACAGAGGCGAUGGAGCUGCGAUCGGACUAG